UAACUGUGUGACCUGAGAAAGGCACCUAAACCAAACUGGUCUUGUCUCCUAACCUGUCAAAUAGGGAGAUUCCUGCUUAUCAUGCCUGACCGUGGUGAAGAUUAAAUAGGAUCAUCCAUGCAAAACUCUCAGCUGGGCGUUUCCAUCACCUAGAAGGUGUUCCAUGAUGUCAAAGCUAUUAUUGUUUUCAUACUUGGGAUGGGGAGUGCCGAAUUCAAAUCGGUUCUGAGUGCGGGUCUACUCUGACACCCUGUGUGUCAGAAGGAGGGGCGGGACUAGGAGGCAACAAAUCCAUUACAGCACAGUUGGCAGAUGUGUCCAGUCACACAGCCGGGAAGUGGACCAGGGACUGGACAGCAGCCCUCCGCCCAGGACUCGGCCAGAUGUUCCAAGCCUAGCAAGGGGCGCUUCUACCCCCACCCAUCCUCCCCGACAACCUAGGCCUGUGGCUUGGAGGAGGCAGAGGUGGGGGUCGGCAGCCGGACGUCGCAGGCCCCAGGCUGCGCGCAGGAAGCGGCUCCAAGGUUGUCCUAGAGCCUCAAAGCGGCGGAAGGGAGGGAGCAGCCGGCACCUGCAUUGUGCGAGCCCCGCUCCCCGCUGAGCUUCUGUGACCUCUGGCUCGCGCUCUUGGCAUCCGCUGCUGGGGCAGGGCCCGCGGCUUUCAGACAGACUCUGAACUCCUCGAGGACUCUGACACAGAGUCAGGGCUCAGUAAGUGCCUGCCUGAAUGAAGGGAUCCUGGCCCAGUUCCUGAACCCAGAAGCUGCAGCCUGGUCAGGGAGACAGAAUGAAUCAACGUGAGACAUGUCAAGAACUGAGCAUGACUAGAGGUUCACACCCCUGAGGCUUUCCUAGGAGAGACCAACAGAGCUGUAAGGGAGGAUGUGGUGGUCAGAGUGGGAGACUGGAGUGGAGAUGGAAAGAAUGAGGAGGUACUUAGAAAAUCCAAUAGCGGUCGGGCGUGAUGGCUCACGCCUGUAAUCCCAGCACUUUGGGAGGCCGAGGCGAGCAGAUCACCUGAGGUCAGGAGUUCGAGACCAGCCUGGCUAACAUGGUGAAACCUCAUCUCUACUAAAAAUACAAAAAAUUAGACGAGCAUGAUGGUGUGCACUUGUAAUCCCAGCUACUCGGGAGGCUGAGGCAGGAGAAUCACUUGAACCCAGGAGGUGGAGGUUGCAGUGAGCCGAGAUUGCGCCAUUGCAUUCCAGCUUGGGCAAAAAGAAUGAAACUCUGUCUCAAAAAAAAAAAAAAAAAGAGAAAAACCAAUAGCUAACACUUCUGGAUUGUUCUGCUUAGGGGUGGAAGAAUUUCAGCCCCCUCCCCCAUGAUUUUCAUCUGGUCUAAGGUAAAGAAAGUACAUUUCAAAGCUCUUACAAGGACAUUAUGUAUCCAGGGAGGGCCACUGUGGGUUGAUGCUCUUUACUAGGCCCAUUUUUUGCACAGGAUAGGUGGAGGCACAGCCUGGAAGCAGGACAAUGCACCCAGAGCAUCUGACAUCACCCUGAAAAAUAAUUUGAGUGUUAGCCCCACUGCAGGCAGGGAUCAGACUAUAGGGCUCUUAGGAAAAUGUUUCUCUUCCUCAGGAUGGAUUUAGACUGCAUCUUUGCUGAGAAUAAACACUUGUCUUUUGUAAGGGUGUAUGUGUCUGUAUAUUGGAUCUGCA
rnacentral:lncRNA from 1 species